CCCAGACUCCUACGGGAGGCAGCAGUGGGGAAUAUUGGGCAAUGGGCGCAAGCCUGACCCAGCAACGCCGCGUGAAGGAAGAAGGCUUUCGGGUUGUAAACUUCUUUUCUCAGGGACGAAGCAAGUGACGGUACCUGAGGAAUAAGCCACGGCUAACUACGUGCCAGCAGCCGCGGUAAUACGUAGGUGGCAAGCGUUGUCCGGAUUUACUGGGUGUAAAGGGCGUGCAGCCGGGCUUACAAGUCAGAUGUGAAAUCCUGCGGCUCAACCGCAGAACUGCAUUUGAAACUGUAGGUCUUGAGUACUGGAGAGGCAGACGGAAUUCCUAGUGUAGCGGUGAAAUGCGUAGAUAUUAGGAGGAACACCAGUGGCGAAGGCGGACUGCUGGACAGCAACUGACGGUGAGGCGCGAAAGCGUGGGGAGCAAACAGGAUUAGAUACCCGGGUAUC
rnacentral:rRNA from 1 species